rnacentral:rRNA from 1 species
UCUGGGAUGGGCUCGCGGCCUAUCAGCUUGUUGGUGAGGUAAUGGCUCACCAAGGCGUCGACGGGUAGCCGGCCUGAGAGGGUGACCGGCCACACUGGGACUGAGACACGGCCCAGACUCCUACGGGAGGCAGCAGUGGGGAAUAUUGCACAAUGGGCGCAAGCCUGAUGCAGCAACGCCGCGUGAGGGAUGACGGCCUUCGGGUUGUAAACCUCUUUUAGCAGGGAAGAAGCGUGAGUGACGGUACCUGCAGAAAAAGCGCCGGCUAACUACGUGCCAGCAGCCGCGGUAAUACGUAGGGCGCAAGCGUUAUCCGGAAUUAUUGGGCGUAAAGAGCUCGUAGGCGGUUUGUCGCGUCUGCUGUGAAAUCCCGAGGCUCAACCUCGGGCCUGCAGUGGGUACGGGCAGACUAGAGUGCGGUAGGGGAGAUUGGAAUUCCUGGUGUAGCGGUGGAAUGCGCAGAUAUCAGGAGGAACACCGAUGGCGAAGGCAGAUCUCUGGGCCGUAACUGACGCUGAGGAGCGAAAGGGUGGGGAGCAAACAGGCUUAGAUACCCUGGUAGUCCACCCCGUAAACGUUGGGAACUAGUUGUGGGGACCAUUCCACGGUUUCCGUGACGCAGCUAACGCAUUAAGUUCCCCGCCUGGGGAGUACGGCCGCAAGGCUAAAACUCAAAGGAAUUGACGGGGACCCGCACAAGCGGCGGAGCAUGCGGAUUAAUUCGAUGCAACGCGAAGAACCUUACCAAGGCUUGACAUACACCAGAACACCGUAGAAAUACGGGACUCUUUGGACACUGGUGAACAGGUGGUGCAUGGUUGUCGUCAGCUCGUGUCGUGAGAUGUUGGGUUAAGUCCCGCAACGAGCGCAACCCUCGUUCUAUGUUGCCAGCACGUAAUGGUGGGAACUCAUGGGAUACUGCCGGGGUCAACUCGGAGGAAGGUGGGGAUGACGUCAAAUCAUCAUGCCCCUUAUGUCUUGGGCUUCACGCUUGCUACAAUGGCCGGUACAAAGGGCUGCAAUACCGUGAGGUGGAGCGAAUCCCAAAAAGCCGGUCCCAGUUCGGAUUGAGGUCUGCAACUCGACCUCAUGAAGUCGGAGUCGCUAGUAAUCGCAGAUCAGCAACGCUGCGGUGAAUACGUUCCCGGGUCUUGUACACACCGCCCGUCAAG